CAAAAGAUCAUAAUUACUUUUCUACUGCUUUGCUGUUGUAAGAAACUGGCUUCACUGAACCCCACACAGUGACCUCAGGCAGGUCAAGGUAAAAUUUUCAUAAGCAAACCUGAAAUCCAUCCAUAGUUUGGGAAUGCUAAAUAAAUUCAUAUUCAUUCACAGGAGAAAAUGGAUGGACUUGCCAUGUGUGAGACAUGCCAGGACACAGGAGGCCUGGGUGCUUGGGUAUUAACCUGUCCUUGCAGGCUUUCUACAGGCUUGGAGCUGGGGUUGGAGAUCCUGAGUCCCUCCAGGAGGUUGAGGAAAUUUUGGGGGCCAUUCAAGACACUCACAGGAAUGAUGCCAUGCUCAGAAGUCCACUGUGCUUCUGCAUCCUUUGAUUUCAAUCAGGAUUUUCCAGGUUCCCUGCUG
rnacentral:lncRNA from 1 species